ACCCCGAGUAGCCCACACCCAAGGCGCUGGUCUUGUAAACCAGAGACGGAAACACCCCUUCCCCGGGGUA
rnacentral:tRNA from 1 species